GACGAACGCUGGCGGCGUGCUUAACACAUGCAAGUCGAACGAAGUGGCGCACGGGUGAGUAAUACGUGGGUAACCUGCCCUCCUGUUGGGAUAAGCCUUGGAAACGGGGUCUAAUACCGAAUAAAGGGGGAUGGGCUGGCGUCCUAUCAGCUUGUUGGUGGGGUGAUGGCCUACCAAGGCGGUGACGGGUAGCCGGCCUGGGAGGGUGACCGGCCACAUUGGGACUGAGAGACGGCCCAGACUCCUACGGGAGGCAGCAGUGGGGGAUAUUGCACAAUGGGCGAAAGCCUGAUGCAGCGACGCCGCGGUAAUUC
rnacentral:rRNA from 1 species